AUUACAGGGAAAAUUUAAAAGAAAAGGAAAAUGCGAAUAUUAGCCGAUUUGCACACGGCGCGAAAGGGGAGGGACUCAUAUUGUAAAUAAUCCCUCACCGCAAAAACACGCGGGUCAUCGGGGCAGAACACCGGAUCGGGAUGGUUGGUACGACACCGUUUCAGUGCCAUUGGUUACGGACUCGAAACGGCACCGUAUUCAGACCUUUAAAAGACCCCGAAUUUGGCUAUUCAGCCAUUUCCAAAACCCUAGCCCCCAUUUUGCUUCCCCCUCGCCUGGCCCUAGCACUUCCCCUUUAGCGCCGAUCUGUGUCUAUCGGCAGAGACGAACAGCCUCGGGCUUCAAAGGACGGUCAUUUCGGUCGUAGGAUCCCUUCUACCCCGAUUUCAACGAAGUCGAUGGAACCCCUGGCACUUUCGCGAGGUACGGGGCGUGUGCUGGCACUAGGCGUGAGGGGGGCGUACGGGGCUAUCGACGUGGAGGCACGAGCGGCGUUGGGGCUGAGGCGCUGGCAUCGUACAGAGGCACUGUCUGGUUGCUGUUGCAGUGUGAGCCAGGGCUGUUAGGGUUCCCUUUCUUAGAAUACUGGGCCUAUCGGGCUAGUAAUUGAUAUUGGGUCCUGGGCAUUGUAAAUUUGGGUUUAAAAUUGGGUUAUGUAACUUGGACUGAUGGACUGUUAAUAUAUUUUUGUUUAUUAUUAUUCUUUGGUUUUGUGUUUAUACGGGUCCGGGCUAAAUUGGCCCAUUACACUAAUAAUAAUUUCUCCAACUUCAUAAGGCAA